GACGAACGCUGGCGGCGUGCUUAACACAUGCAAGUCGAACGGAAAGGCCCUGCUUUUGUGGGGUGCUCGAGUGGCGAACGGGUGAGUAACACGUGAGUAACCUGCCCUUGACUUUGGGAUAACUUCAGGAAACUGGGGCUAAUACCGGAUAGGAGCUCCUGCUGCAUGGUGGGGGUUGGAAAGUUUCGGCGGUUGGGGAUGGACUCGCGGCUUAUCAGCUUGUUGGUGGGGUAGUGGCUUACCAAGGCUUUGACGGGUAGCCGGCCGGAGAGGGUGACCGGCACCAUUGGGACUGAUAUCCGGCCCAGACCCCUACGGGGGGCAGCAGUGGGAAAUAUUGCAAAGGGGGCGGAGCCUUGAGGCAGCCCCGCCGCGUGCGGGAGGCGGGCUUUGGGUUUGUAACCCGCUUCCGCCUGGGAGGAAGGGUGAGUGAGGGUAGGGGGUAAAGAGGCCCCGGCUAACUACGGC
rnacentral:rRNA from 1 species